rnacentral:rRNA from 1 species
AGUGAACGCUGGCGGUAGGCCUAACACAUGCAAGUCGAACGGCAGCACAGAGGAGCUUGCUCCUUGGGUGGCGAGUGGCGGACGGGUGAGGAAUACAUCGGAAUCUACUCUGUCGUGGGGGAUAACGUAGGGAAACUUACGCUAAUACCGCAUACGACCUACGGGUGAAAGCAGGGGAUCUUCGGACCUUGCGCGAUUGAAUGAGCUGAUGUCGGAUUAGCUAGUUGGCGGGGUAAAGGCCCACCAAGGCGACGAUCCGUAGCUGGUCUGAGAGGAUGAGCAGCCACACUGGAACUGAGACACGGUCCAGACUCCUACGGGAGGCAGCAGUGGGGAAUAUUGGACAAUGGGCGCAAGCCUGAUCCAGCCAUACCGCGUGGGUGAAGAAGGCCUUCGGGUUGUAAAGCCCUUUUGUUGGGAAAGAAAUCCAUCUGGUUAAUACCCGGGUGGGAUGACGGUACCCAAAGAAUAAGCACCGGCUAACUUCGUGCCAGCCGCCGCUGUAA